UACGUAGGAUGCAAGCGUUGUUCGGAAUUACUGGGCGUAAAGAGUACGUAGGCGGUCUGGCAAGUCUGAUAUUAAAGACCGGAGCUCAACUCCGGGACUGUAUCGGAAACUGCCAAACUAGAGGACAAUAGAGGAAGUCGGAAUUCUCAGUGUAGCGGUGAAAUGCGUAGAUAUUGGGAAGAACACCGGUGGCGAAGGCGGCGACCUGGUCCUUGACUGACGCUGAGGCGCGAAAGCGUGGGGAGCAAACAGG
rnacentral:rRNA from 1 species